AUUGAACGCUGGCGGCAGGCCUAACACAUGCAAGUCGAGCGGAUGAAGGGAGCUUGCUCCUGGAUUCAGCGGCGGACGGGUGAGUAAUGCCUAGGAAUCUGCCUGGUAGUGGGGGAUAACGUCCGGAAACGGGCGCUAAUACCGCAUACGUCCUGAGGGAGAAAGUGGGGGAUCUUCGGACCUCACGCUAUCAGAUGAGCCUAGGUCGGAUUAGCUAGUUGGUGGGGUAAAGGCCUACCAAGGCGACGAUCCGUAACUGGUCUGAGAGGAUGAUCAGUCACACUGGAACUGAGACACGGUCCAGACUCCUACGGGAGGCAGCAGUGGGGAAUAUUGGACAAAGGGCGAAAGCCUGAUCCAACCAUGCCGCGUGUGUGAAGAAGGUCUUCGGAUUGAAAAGCACUUUAAGUUGGGAGGAAGGGCAGUCAGUUAAUACCUUGCUGUUUUGACGUUACCAACAGAAUAAGCACCGGCUAACUUCGUG
rnacentral:rRNA from 1 species